UAAUUCUACAAGCUCAAGCUGUAGCCAACAGCACCCAGACUUCCCUACAAUCAACUUUCACCCCCUCAGUUGAAUCUAGCAGUGGCUUUGACUUAAUCCAAAAAGAACAAGAACUAGAUAAGGAGGAAAAAGUAUCUAGACAAAAUAGACACAUUGUAAAUGACAACCAUAAUAUCAGUUAUAAGAAAACUGGCAAUUCAAAUUUUUCAUGGGAAAAGGUAGAAGAAAAUAAUUGGUAAAAAUGGGCAAAUUACACAGCAGAAAAACAAAAAUGGGAAAACUGCAUAGUUUGCUUUGAAGCAAGACCAGACUUAUAUAUUGUACCAAUACUCAUACACAGUUGUAUAAUAUUUCAUGAUGAAUGGAAAAGUAUGAGAAACCCUGUAUUAAA